AGGACGAACGCUGGCGGCGUGCUUAACACAUGCAAGUCGAGCGGAAAGGCCCUUCGGGGUACUCGAGCGGCGAACGGGUGAGUAACACGUGAGCAACCUGCCCUUAGCUCCGGGAUAGCUCCGGGAAACCGGAAUUAAUACCGGAUAUGACCUAGGCCGACAUCGGCUGUGGGUGGAAAGUUUUUCGGCUGGGGAUGGACUCGCGGCCUAUCAGCUUGUUGGUGGGGUAAUGGCCUACCAAGGCGACGACGGGUAGCCGGCCUGAGAGGGCGACCGGCCACACUGGGACUGAGACACGGCCCAGACUCCUACGGGAGGCAGCAGUGGGGAAUCUUGCGCAAUGGGCGAAAGCCUGACGCAGCGACGCCGCGUGGGGGAUGAAGGCCUUCGGGUUGUAAACCCCUUUCAGCAGGGACGAAGCGAAAGUGACGGUACCUGCAGAAGAGCGCCGGCUAACUACGUGCCAGCAGCCGC
rnacentral:rRNA from 1 species